rnacentral:tRNA from 2 species
AGUUCAAAUCCGGGUGCCGCCU